AGGUCAGCUCCCUAUCUUCCCUGUGCAUGGUGCCCCACAUCUUUUGUGGCUUGAUUGAUGUGCUCAGGAUUACCCUUUCAUGAGAAAGGUUGCGGCUGCCAGAGUUAUGCUGACUCCACCAAGAUGCGUAUCUCCAGCCUACAUCUCUCCUGCAUCUCAGACUCCUGCUGCCCCAGCCCUGUCAUCAGUCAGGUCUUUGGAAGACAGUUGGCUGCAUCCUUGGCCUGAAGCUUCAACCUGCAGGCAGAGCGCGGAAUGAGAGCCAUCGCGCACGCUCUGCUGCACCUUUUCAUGGAGGCAGCUGCUUUGGGCUCCCCCCACCCCCCACCCACCGUCACUCCUCUGA